rnacentral:rRNA from 1 species
GACGAACGCUGGCGGCGUGCUUAACACAUGCAAGUCGAACGGAAAGGCCCUGCUUUUGUGGGGUGCUCGAGUGGCGAACGGGUGAGUAACACGUGAGUAACCUGCCCUUGACUUUGGGAUAACUUCAGGAAACUGGGGCUAAUACCGGAUAGGAGCUCCUGCUGCAUGGUGGGGGUUGGAAAGUUUCGGCGGUUGGGGAUGGACUCGCGGCUUCUCAGCUUGUUGGUGGGGUAGUGGCUUACCAAGGCUUUGACGGGUAGCCGGCCUGAGAGGGUGACCGGGAAAAAGGGGAGGGGAAGACGGGACGGAGGGCGAAGGGAGGGAGGAGGGGGGGAGAGUGCACAAUGGGGGGAAGGCGGAUGAAGAAAAGCUGGGGGGGGGAGGACGGGAUGGGGGGUGGAAAGAGAAUGAGAUCAUGAAGAAGCGUGGUGGGAGGGGAGGGGGUAAAGAAGAAACGGCUAACGAAGUG